rnacentral:tRNA from 1 species
GGAGGAUUAGCUCAGCUGGGAGAGCAUCUGCCUUACAAGCAGAGGGUCGGCGGUUCGGUUCCCCGUCAUCCUCCACCA